rnacentral:rRNA from 1 species
GUAGGUGGCAAGCGUUGUCCGGAAUUAUUGGGCGUAAAGCGCAUGUAGGCGGUAAUUUAAGUCUGUCGUGAAACUGCGGGGCUCAGCCCCGUAUGGCGAUGGAAACUGGGUUACUUGAGUUCAGGAGAGGAAAGGGGAACUCCCAGUGUAGCGGUGAAAUGCGUAGAUAUUGGGAAGAACACCGGUGGCGAAGGCGCCUUUCUGGACUGUGUCUGACGCUGAGAUGCGAAAGCCAGGGUAGCGAACGGGAUUAGAUACCCCGGUAGUCCUGGCCGUAAACGAUGGGUACUAGGUGUGGGAGGUAUCGACCCCUUCCGUGCCGGAGUUAACGCAAUAAGUACCCCGCCUGGGGAGUACGGCCGCAAGGCUU